rnacentral:rRNA from 1 species
GAUGAACGCUAGCUACAGGCUUAACACAUGCAAGUCGCAGGGUAACAUGAGGAAAGCUUGCUUUCCUUGAUGCCGACUGGCGCACGGGUGAGUAACGCGUAUCCAACCUUCCCAUAACUACGGGAUAACCCGUUGAAAGACGGCCUAAUACCGUAUGAUAUCGUUUGCUGACAUCAAAUAACGAUUAAAGGUUUAGCGGUUAUGGAUGGGGAUGCGUCUGAUUAGCUUGUUGGCGGGGUAACGGCCCACCAAGGCGACGAUCAGUAGGGGUUCUGAGAGGAAGGUCCCCCACAUUGGAACUGAGACACGGUCCAAACUCCUACGGGAGGCAGCAGUGAGGAAUAUUGGUCAAUGGGCGAGAGCCUGAACCAGCCAAGUAGCGUGCAGGAUGACGGCCCUAUGGGUUGUAAACUGCUUUUAUGUGGGGAUAAAGUGCGUGACGUGUCAUGCAUUGCAGGUACCACAUGAAUAAGGACCGGCUAAUUCCGUG